UAGCGGAGGGGGCUAGCGUUGUUCGGAAGUUACUGGGACGUAAAGCGCACGUAGGCUGGCUUUGUAAGUUAGAGGUGAAAGCCCGGGGCUCAACUCCGGAAUUGCCUUUAAGACUGCAUCGCUAGAAUUGUGGAGAGGUAAGUGGAAUUCCGAGUGUAGAGGUGAAAUUCGUAGAUAUUCGGAAGAACACCAGUGGCGAAGGCGACUUACUGGACACAUAUUGACGCUGAGGUGCGAAAGCGUGGGGAGCAAACAGG
rnacentral:rRNA from 1 species